rnacentral:rRNA from 1 species
GAGGCUUGGAAGUGUGGACGCCAGUCUGCAUGGAGCCGACCUUGAAAUACCACCCUUUAAUGUUUGAUGUUCUAACGUUGACCCGUAAUCCGGGUUGCGGACAGUGUCUGGUGGGUAGUUUGACUGGGGCGGUCUCCUCCUAAAGAGUAACGGAGGAGCACGAAGGUUGGCUAAUCCUGGUCGGACAUCAGGAGGUUAGUGCAAUGGCAUAAGCCAGCUUGACUGCGAGCGUGACGGCGCGAGCAGGUGCGAAAGCAGGUCAUAGUGAUCCGGUGGUUCUGAAUGGAAGGGCCAUCGCUCAACGGAUAAAAGGUACUCCGGGGAUAACAGGCUGAUACCGCCCAAGAGUUCAUAUCGACGGCGGUGUUUGGCACCUCGAUGUCGGCUCAUCACAUCCUGGGGCUGAAGUAGGUCCCAAGGGUAUGGCUGUUCGCCAUUUAAAGUGGUACGCGAGCUGGGUUUAGAACGUCGUGAGACAGUUCGGUCCCUAUCUGCCGUGGGCGCUGGAGAACUGAGGGGGGCUGCUCCUAGUACGAGAGGACCGGAGUGGACGCAUCACUGGUGUUCGGGUUGUCAUGCCAAUGGCACUGCCCGGUAGCUAAAUGCGGAAGAGAUAAGUGCUGAAAGCAUCUAAGCACGAAACUUGCCCCGAGAUGAGUUCUCCCUGACUCCUUGAGAGUCCUGAAGGAACGUUGAAGACGACGACGUUGAUAGGCCGGGUGUGUAAGCGCAGCGAUGCGUUGAGCUAACCGGUACUAAUGAACCGUGAGGCUUAACCUU